AGUGAACGCUGGCGGUAGGCCUAACACAUGCAAGUCGAACGGCAGCACAGUAAGAGCUUGCUCUUACGGGUGGCGAGUGGCGGACGGGUGAGGAAUACAUCGGAAUCUACUUUUUCGUGGGGGAUAACGUAGGGAAACUUACGCUAAUACCGCAUACGACCUACGGGUGAAAGCAGGGGAUCUUCGGACCUUGCGCGAUUGAAUGAGCCGAUGUCGGAUUAGCUAGUUGGCGGGGUAAAGGCCCACCAAGGCGACGAUCCGUAGCUGGUCUGAGAGGAUGAUCAGGCACACUGGGACUUGGGGACGGGCCCGAGUCCUACGGGGGGGAGGAGUGGGGAAUAUUGGGCAAUGGGGGGAAGGCUGGUCCAGCCAUACCGCGUGGGUGAAGAAGGCCUUCGGGUUGUAAAGCCCUUUUGUUGGGAAAGAAAAGCAGCAGGUUAAUACCCCGCUGUUCUGACGGUACCCAAAGAAUAAGCACCGGCUAACUUCGUG
rnacentral:rRNA from 1 species